GGUAACAGCUCAAAUUUGAAAUCUGGGUCUUUCAGGCUCCGAGUUGUAAUUUGUAGAAGAUGCUUCGGGUGCGGCUCCGGUCUAAGUUCCUUGGAACAGGACGUCAUAGAGGGUGAGAAUCCCGUAUGUGAUCGGUUGCUUGCGCCCAUGUGAAGCUCUUUCGACGAGUCGAGUUGUUUGGGAAUGCAGCUCAAAAUGGGUGGUAAAUUUCAUCUAAAGCUAAAUAUUGGCCAGAGACCGAUAGCGCACAAGUAGAGUGAUCGAAAGAUGAAAAGCACUUUGGAAAGAGAGUUAAACAGUACGUGAAAUUGUUGAAAGGGAAGCGCUUGCAACCAGACUUGCGCGUUGCCGAUCAUCCGGGGUUCUCCCCGGUGCACUCGGCCUCGCUCAGGCCAGCAUCGGUUUUGGUGGUGGGAUAAAGGCCUUGGGAAUGUAGCUCCUUUCGGGGAGUGUUAUAGCCCUCGGUGCAAUGCCGCCUACCGGGACCGAGGACCGCGCUUCGGCUAGGAUGCUGGCGUAAUGGUUGUAAGCGAC
rnacentral:rRNA from 1 species